CGAACUCGUUGGCGGGCCGCGCACUGCCGCAGUUCCAGUGCGACAUUCUGCAGAAGUGUGCAGCACGUGCAUCUAACCCCACACAGCAAAAUGUUUGGUGGAUUCGGUGGACUGAAGGACAUCGGCUCAAAGCUGACCUCCACAGUAGAGCAGACUGUGGAAUCGAAGAAGUCAGAGUUGGAGCGCAUCGGUGCGGAGAAGAAGCAGGCAGCAGCGGCACUUCUUGAGGAGCAGAGCAAGAAGACAGGUGACCUGCUCUGGCAGACCAAGAGUGAACUGGAGAGUGCAGUCAUCGGCACCGCCACCUCCGCUGCCACCGCCGCCGCAACCUCUGCCGCCUCCGCCACCAAGACUGCCAAGCAGCAGGCCGUUGACGCUUUUGAUGCCACCAUGGCUGACGCCGAAAAGGCGGUCGACAGCACCAUCAAAACCGCCUCCACUACCAUCGACUCAAAGAUUGACGAGGCUGGCAAGGCACUGGACGAGACACGACAAGGCGUUCAGAAGGCCGUUCAAGACACCACAAAGGUGGCCUCAGAAAAAGUGUCAGAGACCACAGGUGCUGCAAGCAAGAAAGCCAGUGGACUAUUCAAUUGUGCCUCAUGCACUGUCUCAUAAAUAGUGCAGAAUUGAAUAAUUAAGUAAAUGGAGGAGAAGAUUGCACAGGUUAUCGCAGAACUCUUAUCAUUUAAGAUGGGACACCCGGCAGCUGCUUCACGCUUCGGGGGAUAGACGCACUUCAUUUUCUGCAUCAUUCUUUCAUAGCUCUUGCAUUAAUGUUCUUGUCAGUAGUGUUCUUACAAGGCCUGUGUUACACUCCUGAACAAGAAAAGCUUAUGUCAUUCCUAAAGAAGAAGUAGUAAUUUGGACUGGAAUUUUGAUACUUUACUCAUUGAAUUAAUCUUUUUACUUUUCAUAUUAGUGCGAACAGAAUUGACAUUAUACACUCGUGUAAGAAUUUCCUCACAAAUAAAGUAUUUUUUGAACAUGAGCCCAAGGUAUACAGAAUUACACCAUGAUCAGAUUGAAUAAAGGUGCAUUAGUUUUGACCUUUAACAUAUUUAGAGAGGAGUGAAAUGUAAUAUAAUGUUACACCUCUUUCUUUCCCCCAUCAAGUUCAGCAUUUUUGUCUCAAUAACCCACAUAUUGUAAAUUUUAUAACUUUUAACAGGCACUGAAGUAUUUUUUAAAUGCCAUACACAGCAAAACAUAAAUGUAAACUUGCAAAAUAUUUUUGAGAAGUUUUUCCUACUUAUUUUUGCAUCUCAUAAUCAUACAAUUAUUUCUUUCACUGCAAAAAAAUAUCACUGUUAAAAUGUUAGGGAUAUGGCUGCUUUUGUAUCCAAUCAGAAAAAGCAUAGCUGACAAAAUGUAAUAAUUAUACAAUGCAGCUACUUUAGUUGAUGGUACCAAAAAAAGGAAAAAAAAAAUCGAUGAAGUAUGAAAUAAGUACUCAACAUUUUUGCUUCUCAAUAACACCAGAAACAACAAAGAAAAAGUAGCCAGUCCUGCUCUAUAUGCGAAUGUAUAGUUCAUGUGCUUGCUAACAUUUUAAUUAGUGUUGUUCAACAAACUGUGUUAAAACUGGUAAUUGUAAAGCAGUAGAAUGAUUGGCUAACUAUGGCAUGUAUAAAUUGGAGAAAUAAAUAAACUGAGAUGUAGAUUGA